UCUCCACCAGGCUGGGAUCGAGCCUGUCCUGUGUGUAGGUACUGUGCAAGGAAGUAAACCCACAAGCAGUAACAGAUCAGCAAUGGGGGUAUAGUUCUUGCGACACACAGGACAACAGAAAACAGGAAGCAGGACGGGUCAUCCACCGCCUCUGAGGGCAACAUGUUCCAGCUCUUUUGUUGCAAAAUACUUCUUAUAUCCAAUCAAAAUCUCCUCUCUUUUAGUUUGAAACCAUUUCCCCUUGUGCUGUCACAAUGGAUCCUGCUCAGCAGUCUUUUCCAGCUUCUCGUCCACCAGGACCCCCAAGUUCUUCUCUGCAGGGCUGCUCUUUUGGCUGAGGAAAUCUCUCACCUAUUGCAGCUGCUCCCUGAGAAGUGACGUGGUGGGUUGGCCAUGAACAAACACCAGCUGCAAACAGACUUCAGUUCAUGUACAUCCUCCAGGAAGGAGCCAGAAAACACAAGUGCACCAGAAAUUAGAUGAAGAAGGUUGGAGUUUUUGAGCAACAACUUCUACCAGCCUUCCGGACUCUCCCUGCAUAGACCAGCACUAUGGAGCUCCAGGAGCUUCUCUGGUACAUUCAUAGAUUCCAUCCAAGUAUCAGGAGGUAAUUACAGGGGAAAAAUAGUGGUCCCUGUUACACUCGUGGAUGGUUUCUAUUUUUCUAAGUCAACUAUUGAGCUAACAUGCCAGUUUCCAUCUGUAAUCUAGACAGUGGCUGACUGUCGCAGAGGUGCAACUUAAUGCAGCCCGACAGGCAUCCUUUGGGGUGAUUUAUGGGAAGAGUAGCCAAGGCACAGUGAUUAAUUGGUCUAAGUGGAGAGAGAGCUGUAAACAAAUCUCCUUGGCUCCUACUCAGCAAGAAGCUCUCUCAGACUUUUUAGGGUUUUAAUUUUAAUUAUUUUUAGAUCAUUUUCUUAAUCAGAUCCAAAUGGUAUCAGCAAUCUAAAUUCUGACAUUUGAGGUUUAGGUUAGGACUGAUCACCUCUGUAACAUUUGCACUAAGAUAAUGAACAGUUUGUGGAUCACUGAGGGUCUGCUCUGUGCCCUGGCAUUACAUUUCUGGGGUAGGUAAGACCCUGUGAGCCCUUUUGCACCCUGUGAUGUCUCAUUGUGGUAUCAAGCAAGUGUUUUAUUGCAGGUUUAUUUUGAUUAGCAGGCUAGGAGUCCAAGGCUGCGUUAAUGUUAAUGUGAGCAUCUCAUUGAUUCAGUCUUCAGGGCUGCAAAUUUUAAGCAUGAGGAAGAGCAAGCAUUAAAGCCACUGGUAUUUAAGGGAGCUCAAAUCCAAACUCAAUCUGAAGCUGGAGAAACAAUCUUUGGUCUCUAAGUGAGUACUGAGAUCAAUUCACAAGUUCCCCUCUUACUAUAAUUUCUAGAGGAUUCAACCUUUCCCCUCCUUCACUGUCCUCAGCCCUUAUACCUGUCAUGAUCUGAAUCUUAGAAAAAACAAAUACUUGCUUCAUGUAAGGGUAAAGUGCUUGGUUAUCUCUUUCCACCAUUAACUAUCCUAGCAAGCCUUGGAUUUUUCUUACAUGAUACUACUUUAUUAUGGUUCCUAUUGAGAAGGAUCCCUAUCAUCAGACUGUUCACAGGAGAACAUCUAUAGAAGUUUAGAGAUUUUGCAGAAAUUCAAGAAAUUUAUCUAAGUAAGUGCUUCCCCUUUAGGAUGCUUAGCAAAUAGAAGCAUAACUGUUCAAAUCCAUCCAAAUUCUGUAUUUACUUUGUUGUUAUUUGAAAAUCUAAUAAGUGGGCUCACAGCAAUUUCCUAGUGUUCCCGCUACCACUGCUUACAUUUUUGUUUCUAUUCAUUUAGCCUCAGAAACCAGUGAACCGUUCCGACAGCUCUGACUACAAUUUCUCAUCUUCUUGUGUAGGAGCCUUUUGGGGUUUGCAGCCAGGAGCUGAUUUCAAGGAAGACCAGUACAGCACCGCAUCAAGGAUCUCACUGGUUUUCUACCAUGUGCUGUGAUCAUAUGGCAGGGCCACCUGUCUGUGAGUGGGUGGGUGAGUGAGUGACCACGCCAGGCCAUCCGCCCAUGGAGAUCUUCAUCCCAUAAACUGGCAUUUGCCCACUGUCCCUGAGUCUGCUUGGAUGGACACAGACCAACUCCCACGUGUUCUCAUUGAAUCAUGCCUCCAGAACGAGUCCUUGGCAACCUUCACAGAUCCCUUUUCUAUUCCAGCUCACUCUUCUUUUUCUACUUUUGAAGGCAUUUCAGAUAAGUAGGUUCAAAAAGAAUACACAGAACAACAUGCAGAGCAAUGACCCCAGAACAGCCUGUGGAGUAGGAGAAAAAAAAAAAAACAACAAAAAAGGUAAAGAAGUGUCUGAGCACAACAGAUUUCCACCCUCCAACUCUCUUCUCAGCUUGUACCUCCUGUAAAUCCUUUUGUACCUGCAUCAUAGAAGCACCAAGAUGCCCCAGCUGGCAUCACAGCCCUUUUGCAGAAAGGAUCGUACAACAAGUAGUGAAAGAGUAAAUGAGACGGUGAAUGUACUCAGAUUAAAGGCAAGAUCCACGCUGUCUUCUGUCUUCUUCGGGGCUCACUGCAACAGAAAUGACAGGUCUUUGAGAAGGAUGAGGGAUGGAACAGAAAAAAAGGGUUCAUGUGAGCCUUGGUGUCAAUAGAAGAAUUGACAGGAAAUCAACGUUUCAUGUGAGCCUUAUUUGCUUGUCUAUGGAGGGCAGAAAGGAGUAAGCUCUUGGGUAUUUUCAGGAUGAACACUUUUGACUUCAGGUUCUUGGAACUUCAGCCAGCUCCGUUGCAUCCAAACUCAACAAUGUGUGUAAGACCUGCAGUUGCCAAUCUUGUAUUUACUCUGCGGCAAACGAAUGAUUUCCUGUUGAAACCACAGGAGCCAUCACUUGAAAAAGCAUCAGCGUUUUUGCCUUUGGACAUUUAAGUUCUCACUUACAAAGAAUGGCCAGUAGCCAAAGACCUGUUGUGUCACCUGUUAAAAAACAGUUGCUUUCCCUUCCCAUUGUUCAGUUAUAGAGUUCUACUAAACCUUCCAUUCCACGCAGCCUUAGCAAACUUGCUCCAGGAAAGCAUUUGACCACCAGGAUCUUUGGCUAAAUGAGAAAGUCCUUCUGUACUCCCACUCAGCCAAAACAUAACCAAACAAAACCAACCCAAACAUCAUUAGUGCUCUAACAGUUUUUAAACAAAUGUUUCAUAUUGCCUAAAUCUCACCUUACAGAGUGCUUUCUCAUGCCCAGGAUGUGCUUGGUGUUCUUCCUGGCUAUCAGAGUUAUCACUCCUUUCCAGCAGCCAGCACUGAGGUGCCACAAGACCCAAGAAACGUGAAGCUUGGCUUUUACAAAGAGUGCCAAUCAAAUGACCAACUGGAAGAGAUGUUUAAGUUGUUGGCAGAAUUCCUCUCUCUUCAUUAGCUUCCCUGUGGCGAGUUUGACAUCCACAUAAUGCACCCGCACACCACCAAACGGCUUCCACGUAACUUGUGCAAUUUUUUUUUCCUGAAGAAAUGAAAAGAAAGGGAAAAAGAGGCUUUUGUAUCUUUUUCUCCUUUAAGUACUUGUGAGACAUGUAGCUGCAGGAAUUCUCCAGAUGAUCCCCGAAGGCAGUAACAAAAAGGAGACAAUAAACAUUUUUCCUUUAUUAAAAAAAAGUAAUAGUUUUCAUUAAUUCCAAGAAUACUGGAAGUCAGAGUACAAGAACUAUCCCUUGUUCCCACACGCAAUCAGACACUGGAACAAUAGAUUUAAUUGCAGUAGAGGGUAUGAAUGUGAAUAAAUAAAGUUAUCUGUCAUUUUGCAGUCAGAAUGACUUGCUUGUCCCUAGAAGAUUUUCAGUCCUGUUAGUCUAACACUGAAGACUUAAAAAAAAACAAACAAACACAACCACAAACAAAACCUUCAUUCGGGUAUUUUUAACAGGAUUAGAUUAAAACAAACCAAUUUUAGUAGUGAUGAGCCAAAUGAGAGUGAAUUCUGCAGGUUACAGUACGGGUCCAUUCUGACCCAGACCAUUCAGUGAUUCUACAAUUUUCUAAAUUAAAUUAAAUUAAAUUUUCUAAAUUCUAAAAUAUUUGAGAGUAUAUGGACUACUACAAAGAACAGUGAAUCUGCAGAUAGUAAACAGGGACCUUUACUGUAUUGUCCCAUUGAAGGAGGAUCAAUGGAAGUCUUGUCCAGAAUCCCUCUGAAUUGUGAAAGCUAAGGUGGAACAGAGAGGAUAGAGUAUAUAUGUAUACACAUAUAAUUCACUCCUUAAAAAACAGCUCAGGCCUCAGCUUCAGUGGAUUGAGCAGUGAGAAAUGCUGCAUCCACAUUUUAAAGAGGUUGAGUGUAAUGCCAGAAAUCAUGGUCUGCUGGGGUUUAUACCUUGACUGUGCAAGAUGAUUGAUGUUAUAAUAAGAAGUUAAUUACCAAAACAACUGGAAGGUCACGAGCUCCAAAUUUCAGCUCUGUAACAUUGCUGCAGAAGUGAGAAUCUGAAUUUUGUUAACAUCACUGAACAUUCCAGUAGUGGCUGCUGUCCUAUUACGUCCAUAACACAACUGUGGUGACAGAUGUUGCCAGCUGCAUGAAUUGGAGACGUGGCCCAUUGGAGGAGGACGAGUUUCUUUGGAAGUCUGAGUGGCCUCAGAGAAAAAAAAGCCAAAACUGACAUUCUACAUCUCUCCUUUUUCAAUGUGUGAGAAAAGAACCGAAAGAUAGAAGAGAGUAGGGGAGAAACUCUACCAGACUCCUAGAUUUGUCUGGUCAUCAAAGAGAAAGAAAAAGUAAAUUCAUUUUCUGUUCUUCUCUGGUUUUUAAAUUAAUUUGUACCCCGUGAAAUAGGGAGGUGAAAUUAAUCUCACCUCCCUAUAGAAGUCUUCAUAUUUAAUGUUUAAAUGUGAGCUGGUGUCUGGAGGCUUCUUUCAUAUUCAUGGCAGAAACUUCUAUUUUUAGCAGUGCCCGACUCCUUUUGAAUGGAGAGUUGGGCAACAAGAUGCUCCAGAAAAUACCUCUCGGUGAUGGCUGUGGUCUUCACCUUCUGCUCUUGUUUCUGAGCUGUGUAUAGUGGCCUAUCUACGGCAUCAGCCCUUUGUGCAUCAUGAAGAGCAUUUUGUUCUAAGUGAUCACAGCAGUUGCCAAAACUUUUUGCUAAUCACCUCUGGAAUAAGUUCAUGAAAUGUUUUAUCUUUUUAAAAUCACAUCAGUUUAUGCAACAGAUAAAUGCAACAAGCUAACAGAAUCUUCCUGAGUGAAAAUCAGCUUCUCUUUAGCUUGCCUUUCCUUUUAUCCUUGAUCAGAGAGAGGCUUUUUAUACUGAGAGGGAUUUUUUGUCCUUCAUAUGUUUGCACAAAGAGUCUUCCUAGACAGGAGAAAGCAAAACAGAAUAAAACAAAGUGUGUGUCAGUGUGUGCAGCGUAUGGUUUGUAGGAAAAUAAUGCACUUGGGGUGAUAUUUUCCAGUGCUCAUGGGCUGAUCAGUGUGCCCAGAAAGGAUGCUUUUCCUGGGUGUAUUCAGGCAUGCAGUGCUAUUUGCUUGGUCGGAGGAGGCCAGUGGGUCUGACUUGGUUCAGAGAGCUGCUUUAGGAGUUAUAGAGAUGAAAGUAUUUGCACAAAGCCAAGCAUCCAAGUGCUAAACACCUUGUACACACUGCUCAUUUCUCAGCAUCCCACACAGCUACAGCAUACUUGCUAAAGGGCAGAGUGCACUUUGCUUCCACUCUCAGUGCUGAGGCGUGGGUCAUCGGGUUAUUGGGGUGCUUCAUUACCCUUCAGAUAAAAGAAGCCUGAAUAUCUUGUCGUCUCCAAGGAUCACGUCUGGGAACAACAAAAGGGAUAUUGCUCCUUGGGAGGAAAUUAAAACUAAUCAGUCUCUCCUUGCCCUGCGCUGCCACCUCCAGCAGAUCUGAGAGCACUCAGCUCCUGACCUCACUGAGCUGAGCUGGGUGCAGAGGAACUGCUCUGCUCCAAUAUAGGGCUGUACUAUGGGGCCCAUCCUGCCCAAACUGCUCUGUGGGUCUCCAUGGGUGGCAGCUCCCCCAGCUGCUGCACUAUGGGCUCCUCUAUGGCUGCACAUAGAGAUCUGCUUUGUGUGAUGCCCCUGGGUGCAGGGGGACAGCCUGCCCCUCCAUGGCUCAGUCCUGCCCAGCACUGGGUCCCUUUUGGAGCAUCUGGAGUUGUCUCUGAUCUGGGGCAGUCCCCCACUCCCAAAAUCUUGCCAUGUCAUCCCUAUACACUGCCAAGUGGGGUGUGAACCUCUCUCUGAGGAUGCCCCAAAAGAACCAAUUGCCACAGCAGUGCUAGGUAAGGUGUGGAUGAGACAUUUCACUUUGUUCCUGGAAGAAGCAGGCUCCCUGCAGGUGGGUAACUGCUGCCUUGGAGACAGGUGGAAAUACAGUGACAGCACAGAGGGUGAGAGCUCGUCUGAGGAGCAGCGGUGGAUCUGCUGUCAAAUAGGUUUUGUUCAAGACUUAUUUGCUGUGUUCUGCAUUCAAAUACCAACCAUGCUGGGGUCUCCAAAGGAAUUUCAAGGGUUUAUGCUGUUUAUAACCUUGUCUGGAGGCAUAAAUGUUCACUUCAAUGAGAAAUAGCGCUGACUUUCCUUUUGGUUGGCCACUGUUAACGCCACAUGAAGUAGCCCAAAGGAUUCAGCCACGGUAACAUGCUAUGAAUUCCCCUUAAGGCCAAGGUCUGUGCUGCCAAACUGUGGGAAGCAGAGCAGUGUGGCUGUGUGCUGCCUCUGCCUCCUCUUAAAAACCCUCCAAAAACCUGAAUCAUUUUACACCACAAAACUUGCAGUUUCCUUCUCCACUCCCAUUCUAGAUAUCCAGCAAUCCCCUGUGCCAGCGCUGCCUUGCACUUCACAUCUGCUGCUCUCCUCCUGUCUGUUUAAUAUUCACCCCAAGCACUGAGCACCCUUCCUUAAUGCACCUGCAGUCAUUGGCAGUGGGUGAGCAGCUGAGGAGAGAGAAAAAUCACAGCCCUGCACCUCCUGACACCGUGUGAGGGGCUCCAUAUGCUCUGUGCUCACUGGAAGAUAUGAAACUGGCAUUGCAUCAAAACUGUCCUCCCCACCUUUGAAAGCAGGUCUGCAUCUAAAGCGUGGCACGACGUGACCAUCAGCUUGGUGUAGGGCUCUGCUUUUCCCCUUUAAGACUGGCUGGCAGGAGCACUGGGAAUCUAUAGGGCAGGGUAGAAGGCUCUAUGAGGGCAUCAUGGGGUGAUCACAUUCAUUUUCAUGAAAGUCUAUGUGCUGCAAGCUCUUCUGGGGUGGAAAUGGCUGUUUGUUCUAGACGGUCCAUGUGUGAAGGGCACGCUGAUGUUCAGAGCUUCCCUUCUUCUUUCCCUUCCCAUCCCUCUGACCAGCAGGUUACUUUGAUAACAAAGAGAUUUCCACCUUUCACAGCCAGCUCAGGGACUGGGCAGGACGUAAUACCCAAACGAAGUAGUAAAUAUUCCAUUUCCAACAAAGAGGCUGGGGCACUGUUAUCCUGUAGUCAAGGGUACAGCAGGUGGAGGAAUGUUUCCCUUCAUUUCCAGAGCAAACCUCUUGGAGCUGCUCCCAGCCUCACGUGGGCAUUGCAGAGGUGCUUCUCCACUGAUGGAGGUGCUGGUUAGGCUGAGGAACUACAGUGGUGCCAGGGGGAUGUGGAGAAAGGCCCCAUCUGUUUUGCUUUUGAGGUGGUUAGGGGAAACCUUGGACUUGCCCAGCAUGGGAAGUUGCAUUGAGGCUGCAUGGCUGAUUCUGGUUGCAUGCAGGAGAAGCAGUGAGAUCCAAUGAACUGAAAUUGCAGCUCUUGGAUGCAGGCCAUGAACAGGCAGUAAAUACACCAACAUAUUCUGAAUGGACCAACCUGUUCAGCUCCUUCCGUACUGCCCCGACCUACUUGCACCCUCAUUUUCCUGUACAAGUGAGGUCAUAUUUACACCUUCUUCCAAUCUAUGAGCAAUUAGCAAAUAUUGGGCUGUUUGAACCACACAUUGAUUUCUUCUUCUCUUUUUCAUGGAAAUAUUGAGUGUCACCAAGCCAGGUUCAUUACCAAGGGAUGAAUACUUAAUAUCACCAUUUGCAGUGAACCACAUGUUGCAGUCAAAAAAGACAUCGAUGUGAUUUAUUUUAAUUAUAUUUAUUUCCUUGUAAUUUCUUAUUCAUCGAGUCCUUUAUCAGCUAUUCCAAGGAUCAAUUUCCAGCUGUAAAUCAGUAACAGUAUUAGCCUUAGGAACACUUGGCUCCAUGCGCCCUUUUAAAGCACUAGCACAGCUUCAGCUCUCAUCCAGUCCUCUGUGCUCAGGUGUUAGAGAAACUAGCAGCAAUUUAAACAGCUCUUUGGCCACCUCCCUUAAAGUCAAGGCCCAUUCUGGCAGGUUGGUGAUGUUCAGCAUAUUGCAAUGGGGACAUGGAUUUUGCCAGGAGUGUUUUACCACAUGGAGCAUUCAUGGCACCCACGUUACGAUCCCUGUGUGUUUGCUGUCUGCUCUGUGGGUACAGUAAUGGAUACAAGGGGAAGAAGGUUGACAUGCCCCUCAUGCACAAAGCAGCCUAAAUCACUACUUUACAACAAUCCCUUUGACACUUUGUCAGUUGCACCUCACCGCAGCUACUGCAGGAACUAACAGUCAUUAAUUACCUUUGUCAGCUGACAUUGCCUUAAUUGUCUGCAGCUUUACUUCCACGAACCCACCAGUUUGAGCUGUCAGAGCCAGUUUAAAGGCUGCAGCUCUCAGAGGUAAUCUAUGGGAAAAAUCCAGGUGAGUUAAUGGAAAGUGAAGUCACCUGGCUGUGUGGGAUCCGUGCACAUCCCAACAUCACCUGAGUGCCCUGCUUUCAUUGGGGAGCACAGCAGGAAGAUGCUCAGCCAACCACCAUGUAAUUUGAGGGAGUUCUUUUAUGUCCUUUCCCUAAAAUACCCAGAAGUGGGGCAGCGUGCUGCCUGGAGAGCCAUUGCUCCCUGGACCUUGACCAGCAUCACAUUGAGCAGGCAGCACACAGCACUGCAUGGCCGCUGCAUCCAGCAGCUCCAUGCAGAUGUUUGUCAAGCUGUCAGGGCACUGAGAAGGAAAUGAAUUAAUCGGAGGUGUAGUAGGUGAGUUCAAUCUUUUCUGCAAGUAUUAUACAGCUAUUAAAAUUGCAUAGGAAAGUCAAUAGCGAUGGGUAAUAAAGUUCUUCUGAGAAAUUCAAUAGGAGCCCAAUUUUUAAUGCAGCUUGGUAUUCAAAGCAGAGCGUUCCACAUCCAGCUACGUGAUAAACAUUUACUAAUUAAUCCUCACAAACCCUCAGCAAGGUGGAUCUCUUCACAUCGCUGACUCUGUUUAAUAAACGGGAACAAGAAGGUACAAGACACAUCCUUUGAAGCUGGGGUUAUAGAUGUCUUUAAACAAGGGCUGGGUCUCUGGGAGCCUGUUCAGUACAUGUAUCUGAAUUGCUUUCUGUGAAAAGCCUCAGAGCUGGGAUCAGAAGUCAAGGUUUCUUUAUGCUCCUUCACAUGCUCUGAUCACAGCCACAUUUUUUGAUGUAAAUCUUCAGCACAGUCUCUGAAAUACUGAUAUUUUUUUUCCUGUGUUAUCACAUUACAUUGUGGGGAUGGUAUUUAGAAGAAAAGCCAAUGGUCUUAAGCCUCAAGCUGUAGGAAUUGGCCCAUAAUGGAGCCUCUAAUUACAUACAGAAUCAGAGGAAUGAGACUCAGGAAGCUGAGUUGGAAGCUGCUAUUUGCAGAAGAUCAGUAAGGAUUAUAUGGGCUGUGGGUUGUCACAUAGAUGCGGAUGCAGUUUGUGCCAGGACAAUGGACUACCUGCAACUAUGGACAACUUAGAAACAUUUAGUGUCAUCUUAUAAUUCUCUUCAGUCUCCUCAUUGCCCCUUAUAGCAUGAA